GGUUUAAUUACCCUAUAAUAAGGUGUGUCUUACUCCUGACCUAAAGAAUAUUUAGCGUCGGUUAUGUAAAUUUUGUAACGUCUCCUUUCGGGGAGACACC
rnacentral:snRNA from 14 species